ensembl:processed_transcript 4930461C15Rik RIKEN cDNA 4930461C15 gene
GAUCCGGGUUCGCCCCCAAGCCGGGGCCGGGAGCGGUCCCCGCCCCGCUGAAGAGCCUGUAGUUUUUGGGACCACUGCCCAGAGAGAACCCGCCGAGACUCUCUGCUUCCUGAGUUUCUUUUCUGGAGGUUUGGCUGGAGAGCAGCCCGGAGAACAUUCCCCUACUGCCUGACCAUGGGAAGUCAUAGGAGGAGCACCGAUGUGUGAGAAUUGAGACACAGUGCUGCCCACCAUGUCUCUCCACUUCUCAUUAUGGCUGUACAACCAGUUUCAGAAGGCUUCUGUGAGAUAACGAAAUGUUUCCUGGGAACCUUCCACCAAAGUCAUAUAUCAGGCGUUCGAGUCUAGACCAGUCACUGCCCCAGGGCAGUCCAGGUUUACAUUUACUCUCCCAUACUUUCUGCAUACUUCUCUAGUCAAGCUUGCCAUUCUCUUUGCCUAGGGGGACUCAGUUUCCCUGUAGGCUGAUGUCUGCUGAGUCAGUGGGGAUAGGGCAGUUUGACCCAUGAGAUUUACCUGCUCAGGGCCAGGACCUAACUGGUGAUUGUGAAAAAUCACUCAGCGUGAAUAGGUUUGUAGAAGGCCGCCACCAUCAUAGGGGCCACAGCUAGAAGCUAGAGUGUGUCCCAUUGGCAAGCCCGGCCCCUCAGCUUUCCUACAGAAUCUCAAGAAAGUGAGAACUUCAGAGAUUCCCUUGGGUGCAAAACAACAGCACAAGCCCAGAAGGAGUGGAGACCUCACAACACACGAGAUCCUGGACAUGAGGCAGACCCUGUAACCACAGCAGUUGUCUCUUUGGGUUGGUAAAUGAAAUAAUGCUUUGAAUGUAGGCUCUAGGGCAGAGAUGGACUUGAGGAAAACACCACAUAGGAUAACUGAAUAUGAAACACUAGGAAUAAAGGUCUGUAUCAUUUUAAUGCAUAGUCACUCCAUGGGAAGAUGUUUAAAAAAUAGAAACAGAUUUCUGAUGUGAAUUUUAAUUUACAAGAUCUUCUCUUCCCUGAUGUCUCCUUCUUCCUCUUUUUUUUUCUCAUUCUUUUCCUUUCAUCUUCUCCUAGUCAAUAAAGAGCAACGGGACUUGACAUCCAGAGAGAAAGAAAUAUGAGGAGCCACACCCCACAAUUUCAUCUUGUAAAUGAGCUUAGGAAAGGAGAACAGGAGGGAAAGCCCCCGGGGCUGUCGGCCUGGGCUUCUGUCACUGCAGACAUCUGGCUUUUAAUGACAUGAUAUGGGAAGAAUAAUUUGGCACCAUCAUUGCUGUUAAAUGUCUUUCAAGCAUUAAUAAAACAUAAGAGACUCGCU